GCCCGGAUGAUGGAAUUGGUAGACAUACAGGACUUAAAAUCCUGAGGGGAGAAAUCCCCGUGCCGGUUCGAGUCCGGCUCCGGGCA
rnacentral:tRNA from 1 species